rnacentral:rRNA from 1 species
GACGAACGCUGGCGGCGUGCCUAAUACAUGCAAGUAGAACGCAGUUGCGAACGGGUGAGUAACGCGUAGGUAACUGCCUCAUAGCGGGGGAUAACUAUUGGAAACGAUAGCUAAUACCGCAUACUGUGAGAUGGACCUGCGUUGUAUUAGCUAUUUUGUGAGGUAAAGGCUCACCAAGGCGACGAUACAUAGCCGACCUGCGAGGUGGUUCGGCCACACUGUGACUGAGGUACGGCCCAGACUGCUUCGGGAGGCAGCAGUAGGGAAUCUUCGGCAAAGGGCUGAAGGUUGAGCGGGACACGCCGCGGGGGUGAAGAAGGGUUUCGGAUUGUAAAGCUCUGUUGUUAGAGAAGCGGUAUCUAACCAGAAAGGGACGGCUAAAUACGUGCCAGCAGCCGCGGUAAUAC